rnacentral:rRNA from 1 species
CCUACGGGAGGCAGCAGUGGGGAAUAUUGCGCAAUGGGCGAAAGCCUGACGCAGCAACGCCGCGUGCGGGAUGACGGCCUUCGGGUUGUAAACCGCUUUCAGCAGGGACGAAGGGUUACCUUGACGGUACCUGCAGAAGAAGCACCGGCUAACUACGUGCCAGCAGCCGCGGUGAUACGUAGGGUGCGAGCGUUGUCCGGAAUUAUUGGGCGUAAAGAGCUUGUAGGCGGUUUGUUGCGUCGGAAGUGAAAACUCAGGGCUUAACCCUGAGCCUGCUUUCGAUACGGGCAGACUUGAGGGAUGUAGGGGAGAACGGAAUUCCUGGUGGAGCGGUGGAAUGCGCAGAUAUCAGGAGGAACACCAGUGGCGAAGGCGGUUCUCUGGACAUUUCCUGACGCUGAGAAGCGAAAGCGUGGGGAGCAAACAGGCUUAGAUACCCUGGUAGUCCACGCCGUAAACGGUGGGCACUAGGUGUGGGACCCAUUCCACGGGUUCCGUGCCGAAGCUAACGCAUUAAGUGCCCCGCCUGGGGAGGUACGGCCGCGAGACGAAACGUACAANAGAGUUAGUAACGGUCGUGAGACGUGCCGACGGACGACGACGAGGGAGGAGG